UGUGAAAAUAACUCUGCAUAAUCUAUAAAUGAAUUCAGACAAGCAUAGGCAGAGAAAACAGACAACUGACAGCAAUUGGUUUCUAAGGGUCCAAAGAGUCUUUUAAGUUGUGUUUUGAUGAUGAUAAUGUGCAUAUAAGAUUGAAUGCCAGUGACUGGAGAUGCCAACUCCCUGUACAGUUCCUAGAGUUCCUGGGAAUGCAUGGCCAAUGACACAAGGCUUUGCUGGUGUGUGAGAAUUGGAUACAGUGAACAUCUGGAAAAGGCAGACAAAAGAAGAAAAUGCAGUAUUGGCUAGGUGUUAUAAGAUGGUCUUUACAUAGCUCUGGCUGUCCUCAAACGCAUCCAUCCAAUCCAAGUGCUGGGGAUUGUAUGCCAACCAGGCUGGCUACUAUAGUAGGUUUUUUAUUAUGAAUAGAGCAUGAGAUCACGUGUUUCUUAAAGAAAGUUGGUUGAAUUGAAUGCAAUAAAUGGUUAGAAGCACUUAGUCUUUUAAUCCUAUUAGGUUUAAAAUAUGGAUUGGAUUAAGGCUGGGUUUGGAGUGACCUUUAGGAUUAUGGCAACGUCUAGUGUACAAAAUUUGGUGUGGGCAGGGAGUUGAGACUGGUGUGUGUCUUUUUAAGGGGUGUAUGUUAAUGGAUUGUCUUGUCAGCACGAUAUGACAGUGAUAAAAUAUGUUUUGAUCCCAAGACACUGCCAGCUCUGUUCAUUUUCUUUCCUGGUGUAACUGGUAAUUGCCAUCCUGAAAAUUGUGGGUGACAUUUUGUGACUGUAAAGUCCCAUUAUAAUCCAUAUUUCCUUGUCCAGCAGUGCUCACUGUGAAUGCUGAAAUAAACAUUCAGUUGGAAC
rfam:Mesocricetus auratus contig073157, whole genome shotgun sequence.